UUGACAGCCUAGGAGACUGAAAUCCUCUAUUUAGUCACAGAACAGGUGCUGUGUGGGCUGUAUGAGUGCACACUUCCAGCUUUAAUGAACAAUCCCUGACCAUGUUUCUCCAAGAUUGACCCAGGGAAGAGAAGAAGAGAGUUCAGUCUCCAUAGUCUAUUUAGUUCUUAGAGUUU
ensembl:misc_RNA